AUUGAACGCUGGCGGCAUGCCUUACACAUGCAAGUCGAACGGUAACGGGCCUUCGGGUGCCGACGCGUGGCGAACGGGCGAGUAAUACAUCGGAACGUGCCCGAUCGUGGGGGAUAACGAGGCGAAAGCUUUGCUAAUACCGCAUACGAUCUACGGAUGAAAGCAGGGGACCGCAAGGCCUUGCGCGGGCGGAGCGGCCGAUGGCGGAUUAGGUAGUUGGUGGGAUAAAAGCUUACCAAGCCGACGAUCUGUAGCUGGUCUGAGAGGGUGACCAGCCACACUGGGACUGAGACACGGCCCAGACUCCUACGGGAGGCAGCAGUGGGGAAUUUUGGACAAUGGGCGCAAGCCUGAUCCAGCCAUGCCGCGUGCAGGAUGAAGGCCUUCGGGUUGUAAACUGCUUUUGUACGGAACGAAAAGCCUUCUUUUAAUACAGGAGGGUCAUGACGGUACCGUAAGAAUAAGCACCGGCUAACUACGUG
rnacentral:rRNA from 1 species